GCCCCCUUAGCUCAGCUGGUUAGAGCGUGGUGCUAAUAACGCCAAGGUCUUGGGUUCGAUCCCCAAAAGGGGGCA